rnacentral:rRNA from 1 species
AUUGAACGCUGGCGGCAUGCUUUACACAUGCAAGUCGAACGGUAACAGGCCGCAAGGUGCUGACGAGUGGCGAACGGGUGAGUAAUGCAUCGGAACGUGCCCGGUCGUGGGGGAUAACACUUCGAAAGAAGUGCUAAUACCGCAUACGAUCUGAGGAUGAAAGCGGGGGACCGUAAGGCCUCGCGCGAUCGGAGCGGCCGAUGUCAGAUUAGGUAGUUGGUGGGGUAAAGGCUCACCAAGCCAACGAUCUGUAGCUGGUCUGAGAGGACGACCAGCCACACUGGGACGGAGACACGGCCCAGACUCCUACGGGAGGCAGCAGUGGGGAAUUUUGGACAAUGGGCGCAAGCCUGAUCCAGCAAUGCCGCGUGCAGGAAGAAGGCCUUCGGGUUGUAAACUGCUUUUGUACGGAACGAAACGGUCCGGGCUAAUACCCUGGGCUAAUGACGGUACCGUAAGAAUAAGCACCGGCUAACUACGUGCCAGCCGCCGCCGUAAUAC